rfam:Oryzias latipes DNA, scaffold344, strain: Hd-rR.
AUGAAGGAUUUUUUAAAAUCCACAAUGUUCUGCAAUAAAGCCAUGU